CUGGGAUCUGUGGGCUCUCCGGGUGUGGGGUCGCCUUGGUGCGCGGAAUCCUCUAGGGACAGGCAGAGCGGAGCCCAGCUCGGCCCCUCAGGGAAGGCCAGCACAGUCGAUCACUGAUCUCUGAGCCUGAGCCGGGGAGGCAGGCUCUUCCCGAGUCAUCCCUUGUGACCCUGCGGUGACUUCACUGUGUCGUCGUGUGUGUCUGGCGCUGGUUGUGGCGCUUAACGGCGCCGCCCAUUCCCGUGUUGGCUUCAGGGUCUUACCGUCCCGUGGCCAGCCGUGGCAGCCGGUCCCCCUGUGCCCCCAGCACUUGGGGAGUGUGGAGUGAUGCCAGGGGUCAGCGGGGAGGGAUUUGGGACUACCUGGCAAAUAAGGUGUAUUUCUCUAUCAUGCAAGACUUGUCCAAGUGGCCAGUCUGAUUGGGACAGAGCUUCUGAAGGUAUACAGUUAUACUGUCUAUAAAUGAUGAUAAUUUCGGAGGCUCGUUUCCAAUCAGCACCAUCUAGAACCUUCAGAGUAAUGUUAAGUAACAGCAGCAGCUUUGUGCAUCCAAGUCUGCGCCUGGCUCUGACGGGAACGCCCCUGGCAUUUCUCUGCUUAAUAAAAUAUAAUGCUUGCUCGUGGACUAAGAUGGAUUUCGUGAGAAGGCAAUAUCCUCUGAAUUCUAGUUUUCUGAGGUCCUAUUUUUAUCAGCACAGGAGCUCAAAUCUAGAUUAAAUUUGUCUAACACCUCACACACCACUGCCACCCUCCCUGCCCCCAACCCCCAAAGCCAGAGGCGUUAGACAAUUCCCAGGGACUGUGUUUUCCAAGGACCUGGGACUCUGGGCUGCUGGCAGGUCCCCUGAGUUGCCUACUUGCUGGCCCUGAAAUGCAAGCCAGCUCCAUUUCCAGCUGUCAGGGCCCCUCCCAGGAAGAGGCUGGGGCAUGCUGCUGAGGAAGGUGGUGGAGGCUGAACUGCCCAGCCGAGCAGGUGGCUUCCAGGAGAGCUGGAACCAAUUCUUAGAAAGCCCACAUGGGGACAAAUUGCCAACUGACAUGCUGGGUUCUCCCUCUCUCAGUGGUGUGUCUCCCAACCUUCAGUUUUUCCCGAGUCUUAUAGAAGGCUUUACCCUCUUGCUUAGUGGUUGAUUCCUGCCCACAUGCCCCUACCCCCUUGGGGUCCCACUGGUACCUUAGUUCCCACAUGUUUCUAAAAGGUCUUUCCUGAAAGACUCUCGUUCCCAUAGAGGGAAUCUGUGACCUGUUGUGUAGAGAAUAAAAUUGUUCUCCAU